UACGAAGGUCCCAAGCGUUAUCCGGAUUUACUGGGCGUAAAGAGCGCGCAGGCGGUCGAGUAAGUCGAGUGUGAAAGCCCCCGGCUUAACUGGGGAGGGUCAUUCGAUACUGUUCGACUUGAAGGCAGGAGAGGGCAGCAGAAUUCCCGGUGUAGUGGUGAAAUGCGUAGAUAUCGGGAGGAAUACCAGUGGCGAAGGCGGCUGCCUGGCCUGUUCUUGACGCUGAGGCGCGAAAGCGGGGGGAGCAAACGGG
rnacentral:rRNA from 1 species